AGAACCUGAGCUAAUAUUCCACCGACAAUGGCACAAGCUGGUGGGAAUUCAAUAGUACCAGUGAUUAGUCUCUCCAAGAGACUAUCUGGUAUAUGGCUCUCGCUCACAAACUGUUGCAAUAUUCAGUUUUUCAAUGAACUGACAUUUUCUAAAGAAUGGCAAACCAAAAAAAAACACUUGCUUACAUUUGCCUCACAAAGUUGCUUUUUGAUUUCCAGGACUUUGGCAAGAUCGAGUAGUGAACAUUCUCCAUGUUUACGCCCUUCACUCUCCUCAAAUACUUCUAUUACUGAAAAUUUUCACAAGAAUCACCAAAGAUUAGAGAAGCAGCU
rnacentral:lncRNA from 1 species